UUAACUUAUUCUAUAUGACGUUUAGACAACACACGACUCGGGUUUUGUGGUCCUCUGGCAGGCAUGGGCCAGCUUACCGCCGGCGGCCCCCGGGGGGGGCGGGCCUGCCAAAGCAACAGUGGUAUGGUAGUCAGGGGUGGGAGGUUGCCCGGAGGCAGCACUCGGUAAUGAUCCUUCCGCAGGUUCACCUACGGAAA
rnacentral:misc_RNA from 1 species